UAUCACAGUGGUUACUCCUGAGGUGGCGAGCGGCGGACGGGUGAGUAAUGCCUAGGGAUCUGCCCAGUCGAGGGGGAUAACAGUUGGAAACGACUGCUAAUACCGCAUACGCCCUACGGGGGAAAGAGGGGGACCUUCGGGCCUCUCGCGAUUGGAUGAACCUAGGUGGGAUUAGCUAGUUGGUGAGGUAAUGGCUCACCAAGGCGACGAUCCCUAGCUGUUCUGAGAGGAUGAUCAGCCACACUGGGACUGAGACACGGCCCAGACUCCUACGGGAGGCAGCAGUGGGGAAUAUUGCACAAUGGGGGAAACCCUGAUGCAGCCAUGCCGCGUGUGUGAAGAAGGCCUUCGGGUUGUAAAGCACUUUCAGUAGGGAGGAAAGGGUGAGUCUUAAUACGGCUCAUCUGUGACGUUACCUACAGAAGAAGGACCGGCUAACUCCGUGCCAGCAGCCGCGGUAAU
rnacentral:rRNA from 1 species